rnacentral:rRNA from 1 species
GAGUUUGAUCAUGGCUCAGGACGAACGCUGGCGGCGUGCUUAACACAUGCAAGUCGAACGGAGUCCAUCCAGUGGCAACACUGGUGAAGACUCAGUGGCGAACGGGUGAGUAACACGUGAGUAACCUGCCCCGAAGACUGGGAUAACGACCGGAAACGGUCGCUAAUACCGGAUACCCCCAUUGGAUCGCAUGGUCCGAUGAGGAAAUGAAUUUCGCUUCGGGAGGGGCUCGCGGGCUAUCAGCUUGUUGGUGGGGUAAUGGCCCACCAAGGCUGCAACGGCUAGCUGGUCUGAGAGGACGACCAGCCACACUGGGACUGAGACACGGCCCAGACUCCUACGGGAGGCAGCAGUGGGGAAUCUUGCGCAAUGGGCGAAAGCCUGACGCAGCAACGCCGCGUGCGGGAUGAAGGCCCUCGGGUCGUAAACCGCUUUCAGCAGGAACGAAAUUGACGGUACCUGCAGAAGAAGCACCGGCCAACUACGUGCCAGCAGCCGCAGUAAC